rnacentral:rRNA from 1 species
CCUACGGGUGGCUGCAGUGAGGAAUAUUGGUCAAUGGCCGUAAGGCUGAACCAGCCAAGUAGCGUGAGGGAAGACUGCCCUAUGGGUUGUAAACCUCUUUUAUGCGGGGAUAAAGGUGUCCACGUGUGGAUGUUUGCAGGUACCGCAUGAAUAAGGACCGGCUAAUUCCGUGCCAGCAGCCGCGGUAAUACGGAAGGUCCGGGCGUUAUCCGGAUUUAUUGGGUUUAAAGGGAGCGUAGGCCGGUCUUUAAGCGUGCCGUGAAAUUUUGUGGCUCAACCAUGAGAGUGCGGCGCGAACUGGAGACUUGGAGUGCGCGGAAGGCAGGCGGAAUGGGUGGUGGAGGGGGGAAUGGCGAAGAUAGAACGAAGAACC